GGGGCUGCAGACUGGACCGGGGGACCGGGAGGCCCAGGAUGGGAGGGAGGGACACUCGCGCCCUCCCCAGCGCAGGGAAAGGGGCCUGCUGGGCUGUCCCUGGGGGGCGCCACAGACGGGACCGGGUCGGGGUUGAGGGGAGAGGGCCGUGCCCUGCGCAGCCCUGGCCUCGGAGGGGGCUGCUGACUGUCCCUGCGGGUCCCGAGGAGGCUGCAGAGGGGACAGGGAGGCCGGGGGAGAGGGAGGCACCGGGCAGGCGGCGGCUCCACAAAGACGCGGCCCGGGGCACAGGAGGUGCGCGCGGGGAGGGGGCUGCAGUGGCGCGGCGCGCACACAAAGGCGGCGGGCGGGGGGCUCAGCACUCACAGGGCGAGCGGGCGCCGUCCAUGCCCGCGGCCGGGAGGCCGGGGCGGGUGAGGCGGGCGAGGCCGCGCUCCGGGCCGGGGUCCGCGCUCGGGGUCGGGGUCCGCGCUCCGGCAGGAUCGCUCUCGGGGCUGGACUGCUCUCGGGGCCGGGUCGCGCUCGUGGCCGGGUCGCGGCGCUGCUCCCUCGAGCCGGCCCGCUGCGGGGCCGCGCUCCCGCGUGCUGCUCCGGCUCCGCGCGGCUGCGCUUCGGCACCGGCUCCGGCCCUGCGCGCGGGGAGGGCGGGGCCUGGUCUGCCCGCCCCCGGCCUGCGCGGCGGGGCGGGGCCUGGCACGCCCACCUGGCCUCGGGCGCGCGCAGCCACCUGCGGGCCGGCUCGCAGCCCCGCCAACGCGCAGGCCCGCUGCGGUUGUCACGCUCCUGCUCCAGGCGGCACGCCUGCCCCCAAGGCCAUUUCGAAUAACCUACGGGGCUGCUGGCCGCGGAGGACCCCACGUGUUCCCAGAAGAGGCACAGACUCACCGCCUCACUGGGCCCAGCAGACGCACCGGACCUCGGAGCCCUGUGCCGGGGCAGAAGGGGCAAGCUGGAAGGGGAAGCCCCGAGGCCGGGUGUCCCCUCCCCCUCAGGAAGAAGCCGGACACGCCCCAUCCCCCCCACGCCGCCCCAUCCCCCACCCGCCCUGAGACUCCAGCCCCGGGCUAAGCCAGGUCGGGCGUUGGAGCGUCCUUUCCUCCUGCCUCUUCCCCGUGAUCCGUCAGGACCUCACCACCAGCAGGGCGCCAACUGGGACUAGCAGGCCCAUUUUGCAGCAUCCAGCCCGGAGCCCAGAUGGAGAAAAGACAACAGUGGACACCGUUCUGCCAGAGGAGGAGACCCUGCGAGGCGGGGAUCUGAGCCGGACCCCAGGAUAGGGGCCUUCCAGGCUGAGGCUAGAAACUGAUUGCUGCGCUCACCUGUGAGACAACAGACUUGCCUCCUGCUGCGCCCUCCGAGAUAGCAGACCCACUACCUGCUGUGUCCAUCAAGAGCUGUGCAGACAGGGCAAUCUUGUGACUAUUGUGGGAGGGACAUUUCAAUCAUAUGUGAAACGUCCUGUUUGGGGGUAUAUAACCACUCUGUACACCUCACUUCUUUGGUGCCCUUUCUUCCUUUGGGAAGAAAGGCCCCGGGCCAUGGUCCUCAGAUUUCAGCUCAGAAUAAACUCUCCCAAAUUUUCAUUUAUAGAUUGGUUAUGGAUUAUUUUCAUCGACAGGGUGGAUUGAGGAUAUUUCUGCCUUCCCUGUGGAGGCCAGGGACCCAGCCUUGCCCUGCCGACUGCUGACCCUGGGCAAGUCCCACUCUCACGGAGCCUCAGUCUCCCCCCAAAGGCUUGGCCAUUCUGGUUCGUCUACCUGGAAAGGCUGCCAAUUCCUCCAAGACUCGAUCAGUGCAGGAGGGCACCCUGAGUCCCAAGCCCGUCCAUGAUGUAUGUGCCGAGGCCUGUCUAAGGGAAACCAAGAAGGGAGGGAGAGCAGUGUGUUCCAGACAGACAGCCUUCUUCCUGCUCCCUGGGCCCUGCUGGCCACCUCAGCAUCGUGCCUGCCUGGUGAUGGAGGAGGCAGCUGGCCAUUCACAUCUUUGCCUUUGGGCCACUGCCCACCCACGGCUGGCAGAUGUGUAAAGUAUGGCAGGAAUAUCCCCACACAUCGCAGGAGCAGCCCAGGCCCUGGGGAAGUGAUGGGAACCUGUCCUUGCCUGAGCAGGAUGUGCUCUCUGAGCCCUUAGGGGUGGUUUCAGGCAGUCCUACUUACAUGCCUCCUGUGACAGGGAGCUCACUCCCUCUGCUGACUCAUGACCAUUAGAGUCAACAGCUAAGUAGCUAGUAGAUAGGUCGCAGUCCUCUUGCAAGGACCCUUGGGCUGGGCUCAGGAGCAGAUCCUGGGAUCCGGGAAGGGGGAGCCCAAGGCAUCCUUGGAGAGAUCUUGGGUGCCAGGGCCUUGCCAGGAUCACUGUGUGCCCUUAGCCAGGUCACUUGACAUCUCUGACCCUCCGUCACCCCAGCUCUGACAGGGAGAAUAAGCAGUGCCCGUCUGCUCUGCUGGUUGUUUGAGGC
rnacentral:lncRNA from 1 species